rnacentral:snoRNA from 1 species
AACAUCAAUCGCAGAUCCACCCUUUAUAUAAAGAUUAACUUUGCUUUUUAUUCAAUGGUAAGUUGAUUUGAAGGUUCACAAGUGGAUAUAAGCGUAGAUAGACCUUAAGUGGAGCACGUUUCUGGGCGCCUGGUGUUGACAUACAAUAAUGGAACACUGGGAAUCAGUUGUGACUACAGUU